rnacentral:misc_RNA from 1 species
CUUUGCCUAAGCUUCCAUGGUAGGUUAUGGCCUCGUCGAUGCAACUGGAGAUUUUGAUCUCUUUGGAAACCUUUAUUGCAGAUUUCACAGAUAAAUCUGUUUGUAGCCAAGAGGGCAUUUGGUGAUAAAGCAAUAACUUCUGCACUAGGGUCUGGAUUUCCUGGUAAGUUUCUCUUCUUCUUAACUGUUGAAGGUUGUGGUUGUUGAGUAGUGGAGCCAUCAGUAGUAUUAGUUGCAGUAGU